CUAUUUAAUCUGGAGGCUACAGUAUGCUCGGUCCUUUCCUCUCACCGACCACACUGAACCCUAACUACAGGAGGGAGAAAUGCCAUCUUCAUUAAUAUAUAUAAUACAUAACAUCAGCAGCUCCAUCAUAUCAGAUCAUAUGCCAUUUGGUGGACACCUGUAUGAGCCAGAUGGAGGAUGAUGGCUGUGUUUGGGCUUCGGCAGACUGUCCCAGCCAUGACUGUGCUGUGGCAACAAUACAAUCUGUCGUAGCGGUUUAAUUAUUUGAGAAAAUGGGUCUGAGAGAGGAGCUUCAACAAGAGGACCACUGCCAUCUGCAUCAAUUCAUUUGUGAAAGGUGUCGAGGUUUAAGCUUUUGAAGAUAAAACCAGAGAUGAUGUUGCAGCUAUAACAGACGCUGUUUAGCAGCUUUGGUCCAAGUUGAUACACUUUCAGGUAAUAAGCAAGACGUUGCAAACAUCUGAUGGAGAUUGGGCCAUAGCCCGUGGGGCACAGCACUAAGAGUCGACAUGAAGCCACGACGCUGUGGCCCAGUGUGUGCCGAGCAGCAGGCAAAGUCGGGGAACUAGGUGUACUGAUGCCUGGCAAUAUUCGUGGCCCGGCCACCAAGAUGCUGGGGCUUCGACCGAAAGUCGAUGGGACUUUGCCGGGCACAGCCCAAAUCUACAUGGAGCCUGUGGCUCAGCAGGGAUGGACGUUGGGGUCGGGUGUAUUGUGUGCUGAAUGGCACUCAAAAGUGGGGGCCUAGGCGUGCUGACCCCUGGCAUUACAUAGCAGCAUUUGUAUUUCACAUAAUAAAUCUGGCAGCAUGCUAUGUAUCAAAACAAUGUAAGUUUGUCUAAUAAAACAUAUUCAACUACAA